GAUGAACGCUGGCGGCGUGCCUAAUACAUGCAAGUCGAGCGAACAGACGAGGAGCUUGCUCCUCUGACGUUAGCGGCGGACGGGUGAGUAACACGUGGAUAACCUACCUAUAAGACUGGGAUAACUUCGGGAAACCGGAGCUAAUACCGGAUAAUAUAUUGAACCGCAUGGUUCGAUAGUGAAAGACGGUUUUGCUGUCACUUAUAGAUGGAUCCGCGCCGCAUUAGCUAGUUGGUAAGGUAACGGCUUACCAAGGCAACGAUGCGUAGCCGACCUGGGAGGGGGAUCGGCCAAACUGGAACUGAGACACGGUCCAGACUCCUACGGGAGGCAGCAGUAGGGAAUCUUCCGCAAUGGGCGAAAGCCUGACGGAGCAACGCCGCGUGAGUGAUGAAGGUCUUCGGAUCGUAAAACUCUGUUAUUAGGGAAGAACAAAUGUGUAAGUAACUAUGCACGUCUUGACGGUACCUAAUCAGAAAGCCACGGCUAACUACGUG
rnacentral:rRNA from 1 species